UACAGAGGUGGCAAGCGUUGUUCGGAAUUACUGGGCGUAAAGGGCGCGUAGGCGGCCUUCUAAGUCAGACGUGAAAUCCCCCGGCUUAACCUGGGAACUGCGUCUGAUACUGGAGGGCUUGAGUGCGGGAGAGGGAUGUGGAAUUCCAGGUGUAGCGGUGAAAUGCGUAGAUAUCUGGAGGAACACCGGUGGCGAAGGCGGCAUCCUGGACCGACACUGACGCUGAGGAGCGAAAGCGUGGGUAGCAAACAGG
rnacentral:rRNA from 1 species